CCCCCCCCCCCCCCCCCCCCCCCCCCCCCCGCCAGGGUGGCAUUCUUGUGUGUGGCCUGUCUCCACAAACUGAGACACUUGGAGUGUUGCCAUUCAUACAGAGGCCUUGCUAAAGAGAAGUCGUUGAACAGGCUGUACUGAAGAUGGACCAGGCUGAGACCACACCUAACUACAUAACCAUCCUAGUAUAAAGAAUAUCGACGUAACAACCAAGGGUCAUCUUUCGGGCCCCACAGGUCUAGCCUGGCACGCCCUCCCAGUGACGUAGCCUGACACCUUCGGCGUUGCUGUGGCUGGUCUGACCAACAGCUCAUCGGGCAGGAUUUCUGAAUUCCCCAAAACUGCGGAACUGCCCCCUUUGGUCGAGAACCAAUCAACUUUGAGCAGCUCCAACGGCUCAGAAGAAAGAGUGUUGUUAUUGGUUUAAACUCGGCAAACCCCUUUCUGACAUCGACCAGUAGCAAAUCGAGGCACUUAAAGGAGGCGGGUCAACCAAGCGCUUGGAGAAACCGUUUAACACAGGCUCUUGGUCAGACUAAAGUCUCGCAGCGCCUUUCAAGUCGAUGGCAAUCAGGCUACCACAGGUCAGCUACAUCACUCAGCCAUUCCAUCUGGAUCCUCCCAAUGUGGGAAAACAUCGCCACCAGCUGGUCACCUCUGGAACAACACCACCUAAUGCUGAUCUGAUUUUUCCCUGGUCUUUUUUCUGCCCCUUUGCGUAUGUGCCUAGGUUUAGCUUAGUUUAAGAUUUUAAGUAGGGAUGUGCCUAAUCUGGGGUUAGCCCAGUUUAAGAUUUCCUUUCUCAACUGUUUAAAAAAAAAAAAAAAAAUUGAAAAAGCAACCAAAAAAUGGAGAGACAUACAGGUAAUUUGUAUAAUAAACAGAUUUCCCUGUCCACCAAAA